GGCGGGGGUCACGGGGGAUGGAACCUGCCCGCUGUUGUGAACAGGCCCACAUCUCUCCAACAUCUUCAUGAUGAAAGUGUCAGAGCAACAGCGGAAAGGAUAAAUCCACCUUCAUAUCAACUCCAAGAUGCAUUCCUGUCAGCAAAAAGCCUUUCUGCACACUCAAGGCUGAGAGAUUUUUGCCACUGAUCUUGGAAAAAAAUUAAUUAUGCUCUCACGUAUUUACUAUUAAUAAACAGCAUAGCCAGUAGCAGAAAACUCUCGUUCAAUCGCCCAAAAUGUCCUCCAAAUCUUCUAGACCAGCGACAGCAGAAAGCGCAGGCUUGCGUGAUUCUCAGCCUCGUCUGCAAUCGACCUCCAGUGUGAAUCAAGCCUGAGGAGUUUCUGCAAAUCAAAGGGUGAAUGGGACGACCGGCAAUGAUUUGUCCAUUGCCAAGGGUUUCGAGCCCUGAUUUGCGUUCACGAACAGCAGCAACAGACAUUCAGAGGAGUCAGAAGUGUGGCCGGUCAAUGAUUCAGGAGUCCAGGUGUGAUCUGAUGCAUGAAUUUGAUUUCAAGAAAGAUGAUAGAGAACAUGAGAAAUUCAUACAGGUUUGGAACAACGUGAAGGUGAGUAAUUUUUUUGUGAACUACGCUUUAAAGUGCCAUUGGCCAUCCGUUUAAGGGUAAUUGCAGCAUUAUGGAUGUCAAAUUUUCAGUCAAAACUUGAAAUAUAAAUUCUCAGAGAAUAUAUCGAAUCAUAUUUUUCUAAAUCCCUGAUGAGUCCAGACAUCAGAAAAAUAUCAGUCAAUGCAUAAGUUUUCUAUAUUAAAAUGAGAGGAAAAAUAUAAUGCAAUAUAAAUGUGACUAAAAGGACGCAUGUUUUUGAUUAUCAUACUUUGUAGCAUUUCUGUGAAUUUAUAUAUACAAACCAGAAGCAAUAAUACCCAACAAAUGAAGAAGGGGUGGCUCUUUAUAGAACAAAACAGCUACUAUAUUUUAAUUUCCAUGUGCCCAUUUAUGAGGAAUAUGGACUGUUAUGGAUGUGACAAAAUUACUUACAGUACCCCGACUAUGGAAAACUGCUUUAAAAACAUAAAAAUGCUUUAAAAGUUUAAGAGAGACUUCACACCAAGUAUUGACACAAGUGCUUUCAGUAUGGUGAAAACCUUCAUCUAACACUGUGUCUACACCAGACGUGGCGCGAUGCGACAAAAGAACGCAUUGGAACCCAUUAUAAUUUUAUAUUUUGUCCACACUGGAUGUGGCUCGACAAUCCCAUUAGAGCAAGCCGUAUGUUGUGUUGUGUCGUGUCGCGCUGCGUCCGGUGUAGACACGGUGUUAAGGUUUACAUUUGCAUGUAAUUGCACUUAUAUGUAUUUAUUAGUUGCAUUUUAUUUAUAGUUGAACAGUAUUCACAUUGAGGCAGUGAAUUUUUAAAUUACUGCAAUGAGAAAUGUGUUUAUCUCAUAAUGUUAAAAGCAGACCACAAACUCUACAAAGCUUCUGCCUUUGUCAUAGUAGGAUGAUUGUGUUUAAUGUGGUUUCAUUGAACACUGUUUUAUUCCUCACUCGCAGUAAUAGAAGUUAAAGGGGGCAUGCAACGGAGUUUCAAUGCAUUCUGACUUAUUUACAAUUUUAAACAUGCUGGCCUCUCAUCCUUAACAUGGUCAACUUGUCAAAAAACUAGUUGUACGUAGUAUUUCUGUGCUUGAUACACUCUCCCAGCACUCCAACUUGCUUCGAAAAGUCUGGAUCCCUCUUUCAUAACAGGGAUCCUAUUCCUUUUAUUGGGCAAUUCUCUCGGAAAAGCAUGGCAAUGUGAAAGAAAUAGCCUGCCGACACGCCAACCGACUAACGAGACCCACUUACCAUCAAGAUUGGCUGCGCUGCGUCAAGAUUGGCUGCGCUGUUGGCCUGCAGCUGCAGCUCGUUACUCUUGCAAUAGUGAAGUUCAGGUGUUUGUUUGUUCAUGGCAUUUCAGUGAUGGAUGUUUUAUAAACGGUGGAUAUAACGCUGGGUUUGGAGAUCGUUUGAAACUGAUAUAUGGAGCGCUAAAAGAUGCCGGACAUGAACCGCAUGCGGUAAGUGAAACGAAGUCUGUGUUUUGUUGGCAAUCGGCGCGUACGUGCAUAAUGUAAACAACACAAACUUAUAGUGAAUCAAUGCGAUGAUGUAUGCUAUUGUGUGCUCAUGAUUUAGUUCCUCCCCCGCACACCCCCAGGAGAUCGUAUUUUUCUGGGUAUAAUCGUACAGCUGUAUCUAUCUUUCAUAAAUGUGAUCAAACCAAAUACUCUUCGAAGAUACGAAGUAUGCAAUACUACUCUAUAGGUACUCAAGAUUAAUAUGAGAUUGGCAGAAACUGCGUGUGUAAUGGCAGCUUUAAUGUUUAAUUAGUACGCCGAGUAUUUUCGAACAGUUUUAACAUGUUUCACUUUAUCUACACAGCUGCAAAUGAAAAAUAAACUUUCAUUCUCCAACCUUUAUAAAUACCAUUAUAAACUAGACAGAAUCAAUCUGCAUCCAUUUCUCCUUCAGUUUGCUUUGUGCAAUUUGUUUGUGCUGUGUCCUGACAGAAGAACGGUGUUUAAAGUUUGCUAACUGCUCUUGUUCCUUCUCAGCUUUGAGCUGAAGCCCAGACAACCAGAUGUGACACUGUAUCGUGCACGUCUGCAGCCCUCAGCGGUAUUGAUAUGUGAUAUUCAUUGAUGGACUCUGUUUCUGCCGUGAGCGUGAAAACAAAGAUGACGUAUUCUCUUAGAUCCUGUCAACAGCUGACAGCAGAUGUUGCAGGUUAAUUGACUGAAGUUGCGACGGUCUCACGCCGGUGACCUCUUCCCGGUCGACUCGCCUCAUCCGUUACCCUCUGCUGGGUCAUCCAGGGUGAGCUUCACCUCCUCCGGCCAGACUGACAGAGGGAGAGAGAUAUAAAGCAGGCGAGGAGUAUAUCCAUUUUGCCGUGGCAAUUUGAAAUGAGGGGCUGGCCCGCGAGUGUGACAGAGGACCUGGAAUUCUCAGCAUCAUCACGCUGCGUGCAUAUUAGAGUAAAGUACCCUGAUCGGCCAUGUGAAAAGCCAAUGGGGACGGCCCUCCGAUACGCCACUUCCAGCCUCACACGAAGCUCUAUUUCACGGACGGCUGGCCUGAUUGAAAGUAAUAGGGGGACUGAGGCUGUGAUGAACUGACAUGCCCAAUAACUUUCAUUACGUGGCUGUAACCUUGUCCCGAUCGCUAAUUAAUUUUUCUGCUAGCGAUCAUAUGCUUGUGCGCUGCAGACCGGAGUGCAACCCCGUCUGAUCUUCGUGCGCCCGCUGGGAAAAAUGGUUAUGAGUGUCACAUAGCCAGACCUUUGAUUAAACGCCCAUACUUCUGGUUCACGUUGCAGCUUAUCGUGGCCAAGAACCACCCACUCAGGCAGAAAGACUGAUGGAUAUGUCCAGUAACCAACGGCAGUAAAACCGCAGUAGUAUUAUACUAAUAGUCUAGCUUGAAUAAAAUGUAAAUAAUGUGGAAAAGGGCACUGUGAAAUACAGAACUCUGCUCAAGUUCAUUCACUGCUAAUAUACAAUGCAAAUAUGUAAUGUACGACUCUGUGAAAAUCAAGUUAAUUUGUGGCUUCAAACUAAACUUUUCCCUUAUGAAACAAAAUAUGUGGGAAUACAUUGAAAAAUAUAUUUUCAUAUACUAGAACCAAGUGCUUAUAUUUCCAAUGUAUGAAAAGUGGCAAUUCCUUAUGUAUUAUUCAUAUAAUGUCAUAUAACAAUGUAUUAUUCUAUAUCUUUUUAAAUGUAUAUAUACUUUAUAUGUAAUCAAUGAUUUUAAAUAAUUACAGUUAAUAUAUAGAAAAGUAUAUUAUUCUUUGCUUAAGGGUAUAUUUUAGCCAGAAAAACUUUGGCAAGUCCACUAAUUCAUUCUUAAAAGUGAACAAUACUUUUGUUCCAGGCUGUCUGAUUUCUGAAAAUUGCAUAAAAUCAGCCUGUCAGAGCUUAAUAGAUCUAGAAAGUACUUUGCAGUUUUGUAUAAAAUAUGCAUUAGGUGGUGGGCAGCAUCAUCUUUAGGGUCCCUUUAUACUGUAUAAUCACAAUAGGUCCCAUCCUUCUCCGGGUCCUUACAAUAGACAUGAAUCUAAAUGCAAAAAUAGCAUUAUUUGCAGUCUUUUCAUAGCAGUGGCAGAAGUGCAUUAUAACCCAAAUGCCUGCUUGUUGGCAAGCUUGUAAAAUCUGGGUGAAUAAAUAUUGCAUGAUGCAUCUGAUAAAAAGAUCAGAAUUCAGUGUGUCCAUCUAUAAGUGUGCGAGAGGUGUUUUGAGUGGGAGGAAUGCAAGCAGAGUUGCGGUGUCUAUUUUAGGGUAAAUUCAUUUUUGUAGGGCGUAUAUAUACAAUGCAUCAUUCUUACUUUCUUUGUUGUUGGGGUAUUCUUGACAACACAUUUACAUUCCUGGCCAUAACUCUUGACCCCUUGCUUCCAUUUGUUCACCUUUGUACAGUCGAGAAGCUGGUGAGAGCGCAUGCAGUAUUGGAGCGCCACCUUGUGAUCGCCUUUAAAAGCUGAAGCACGUUUUUAAAAAGGCUUCGUUUUGCAAUGAAAAUUGAAUAGAUCCUAAUCUGAAAUGACCUGUUUUCUUUUGUUUUCUUACGACUUUGUUUUCUUAUUUCCACAAAACGUGACAUUUGAAGGUACAGUGUUACAUGAUUUCUUGUUUGUUUUUCCUCUUUCCAUUCAUCACGUCUUGACUGAAGUCAAUUUCAAUCCGUCACCAAGACGAAUGUUCAGCUCGGUGUAUUUUUUGCAAAAACAAAGACCUGUGACUGACAUUUCGCGCGUGAUGAACAACAAGCAUCCAUUCUGUCCAGACAGGCUGUCGUACAUAAUGCCAGUCGCAUUUAAAGGUUCAUCUUUGUUUUAUUUUUAACCACAGAGUCUUGUUCUUCAUAUUUGCUCAUUGGGAUGUUUACAAUUUUCAUUGUGCUUCGCCACGAAUGAAAUCACGCCCCGUACAUUCUUUCCCGGCGUUAUCGCAACCCUUCCUCACGUCGUCCCGUUUCGCGCCUGGAGAAUUCCUUUCUUUGUAGAAUGGAGAUAUCUGCACCUUUGAGUAUUCCUUUAAUGACACAUCCGCCUUUGUGUUGCUCUCGCGCACGCCGCUGUCUGCUGUUCGUUCACGCCUUAUCUGAUUGUUGUGUGUGGCAGUGGUCCGUUGGGUAAAUUAUUUUUGUUGCUGCCCCUUGAAUCCAGAUUGCACGCGCUCGCAUUUCAACCAUUGCCAGAACCCAAACACGUGUGCGUGUCAGUGCGUGCACACGUGUUGAUGCGUAAUUUAUAUACAAACGCACGCUGAUACGUUCUCCGUACUUAGAAACGUGUUUUAAUUACCAUUACAGAGGAGAGGAAACACUCCCGCACUACAGCGAACGCUUCUGGAGCUGCGGAUUGUUUUGCUUUCAAAACUCCUGAGAACCGAGACAAUAAAACAAAGAGUGUCCUAGAUUUGAGCAGAAAGGAUAAAGGGGGAAGAGGAAGAAGAGGGAAAAGGGAGAGAGAUUAAAGAGCAAAGAAUGAUUCGGCUGUAGUCGUGCUGUUUUAUUUUGCUAUAUCUCCUUUUGUCUCAGUGGAACCGUGAUGUUCUUAAAGACACAGUCACAUGAUUAAAGGCCUGCAGGUAGACUUGGUCAGUAAUUUCAGUACGACGUGAUUUGUAAAUUUCUAAACUGCAUGAGAUAUCAGACUGCAAAAAAAGAUAAAAAAAACUCACAUUUCUCACAAUCGCUUGUUCAGUUGGUUUUUCCAAUCCCAAACUCAGGAAAAAAGAAACGCAAGAGUAUUUUUCAUUUCAAGACCAUUCAAGUAAAUAUGAAACUAACUUUUAUUCUUAUGAACCUUGACUAUGAGUUAUAAGGAUAACUUUUAUACUGUUUAUUGCUUUUUUGACCACAGCCUGUGGUUAUAUUAACUUCAAUUUUAAUGCAGUCUUUGUGUGGAAAAAGCUGCAUUCAGGGCAUAUGGAUUGGAAGCACAUGGGUAAAGCAUUGAUCAUGAGGGAAGCUUGUUCUUCACAAUUCCAAUGCUUUUAAAAACACUAUUCCAUGACUGCUUAUGUGUAUUAAAACAUUGCUGGGAUCCUUCACUGUUUGCAUCACAUCGAUUGAAUCACAUUUAGUCAGCAGCUAUAUAAUAUUAGAAAACUAAACCGUUAGUUGCUCUCUAAAACCGCCCCUUGCAAUGUAAUGCCCAUACUGUACUGUAAUAAAAGCCCCCUCUCAAUUACUUUCUCUGAUUUUAAUUUGUGAUAACAAUCAGCUGAGAACACAUUGAAAAUGUAUUGACUAAUGCUUUGGUUUAGAUUCUAAAAACAUUCACAUUUAAGAUAAAUAUCCACUUUUACACUCUCUCUCUUUCCUCAGGCCGUCUCUGCCCAAAUGUUCCCUCAACUUUUUCGCAAACAUGUCAGCAAAUGGAAAGCUGCAGAAGGUCAGAGCCAGCAGGGACCAGCUCGUGUUGCGGUGCAGCGGGUCUUUGUUCCUCCUCCGCAUCUCUGUUCGGUAGGCUGACUCCACUCACCGCUGCAUCCCAGAACCAUUCUUCAUGUCUUACAAAUACAUUCGUCUGUGUCAGAUCGCAUUACACUCGGAGACGUGGAAGACAGAUGGACAGAGUAGAUGUCGAUGAUGGUCGGGUGUGGUACUAAAGGGAGGCCAAGCAGAGUUUAUCUGGCAGAGUUUAUGUGGUUCAUUGUGUGGAUUUUUGCUGUUUGGCAACCCCCACAACACCCUGUGAGCACUGUUUGACAGCCAUUUUGGUUAAAAUGCAAUUUUAAUCAAGGACAAAUGAAUAUUAUACCUAAUGUAAGUGUAAACUUAAAGUGUGGCGUGAGGCCUAUUUAAUAAAGUCUGUUCAAAGCGAACAGUUUUGGAUCACGUUUGAGGCAAUUUCUUUAAAGGCACAGUUGUGAUUAAUGGUAUUUUUGCUUUGGUCUGAAUGCUAACAUGAGGCUAUUUUCAAGUUCAGCUUUCUCUCGACUGAUGCCUUGAUGGUAAAUUGCUCCAUAUUUUCUAUAGAAAAUGUGUUAUAUUGUUGCUCUCUUCUUGCAUCACUUCUCAUUAUUGCUUAUUUUCCUGACCAGACCUCACACACUCCAUUCAUCCAUCAUCUCUCACGAAAACUAACUUUUAUAAAUGUGAGCUUUGUUAAGGCUUCAGUUGAUCUUAGAGGAUAACAUGUAAACGUUGGCUGCCCUAAUGAUCAGCUAGAGUUUAAAGCUGCAACCUUUAACUUACAUUAAGCCUUCUGGUUAAUAGUUAACAAAAAUCAGUUUAGAGCAAGUAUUUAAAAUAAGUGCUAAAAAUGUCAUCCCACCUUAAACCAGUUCAUAACAGUAAGCUGGUAAUAUUUAUACGUUAAAAAUUGAGUUGAGUUGGCUAUGAUUUUGGUGUGAAAUGUCAAGUUUGAAAUAAUUUGACAUAAACACAAAGAUAAGUGCGUAUAAAGUAACCUGCAAUUUUAUGUUCUUAACAGACAUGGUAGUAGAUAUGAAGAAGAAUAUCCUUUAUUGUCCCAUAUUCCUGGGAAAUUUGUUUUGGACAUUAUGACAGUCAGUACACAGCUUAUGUAAAAGUUACAGAUUGCAGCUUUAACUCUUGUAUGGCAUUUGCGUGUUUUGAACCAGUGCUCAUGCAUUAUUCUCUUUUACUAUCAAUACAGGCAUAAAAAUGUGUAUAGAAAUACUUUAUAGAUGUUAAACAACAAAUUUACCUCUGUCAAAUCACAUUCAUAAAAAAAGUGUAUUGUAUUCUUAUAU